rnacentral:rRNA from 1 species
AUUGAACGCUGGCGACAUGCCUUACACAUGCAAGUCGAACGGCAGCACGGGUGCUUGCACCUGGUGGCGAGUGGCGAACGGGUGAGGAAUACAUCGGAACAUGUCCUGUAGUGGGGGAUAGCCCGGCGAAAGCCGGAUUAAUACCGCAUACGAUCUACGGAUGAAAGCGGGGGACCUUCGGGCCUCGCGCUAUAGGGUUGGCCGAUGGCUGAUUAGCUAGUUGGUGGGGUAAAGGCCUACCAAGGCGACGAUCAGUAGCUGGUCUGAGAGGACGACCAGCCACACUGGGACUGAGACACGGCCCAGACUCCUACGGGAGGCAGCUGUGGGGAAUUUUGGACAAAGGGCGAAAGCCUGAUCCAGCAAUGCCGCGUGUGUGAAGAAGGCCUUCGGGUUGUAAAGCACUUUUGUCCGGAAAGAAAUCCUUGGCCCUAAUACGGUCGGGUGAUGACGGUACCGGAAGAAUAAGCACCGGCUAACUACGUG